GGGUCGUUAGCUCAGCCCGGUAGAGCAAUUGCCUUUUAAGCAAAUGGUCGCAGGUUCGAAUCCUGCACGACCCA
rnacentral:tRNA from 1 species